rnacentral:rRNA from 1 species
GUUAUAGGGUCAAGCGAACAAGUGCAUGUGGUGGAUGCCUUGGCGAUCACAGGCGAUGAAGGACGCGGUAGCCUGCGAAAAGCCCCGGGGAGCUGGCAAACAAGCUUUGAUCCGGGGAUGUCCGAAUGGGGAAACCCACUCCGUAUGGAGUAUCCAUGGCUGAAUACAUAGGUCAUGUGAAGCGAACGCGGUGAACUGAAACAUCUAAGUAACCGCAGGAAAAGAAAUCAACCGAGAUUCCCAAAGUAGUGGCGAGCGAAAUGGGAUGAGCCUUGUACUCUUUAUUUGUAUUGUUAGCCGAACGCUCUGGAAAGUGCGGCCAUAGCAGGUGAUAGCCCUGUAGGCGAAAACAGUAUGAAAGAACUAGGUGUACGACAAGUAGGGCGGGACACGUGAAAUCCUGUCUGAAGAUGGGGGGACCAUCCUCCAAGGCUAAAUACUCGUGAUCGACCGAUAGUGAACCAGUACCGU